rnacentral:rRNA from 1 species
AGAGUUUGAUCCUGGCUCAGGACGAACGCUGGCGGCACGCUUAACACAUGCAAGUCGAACGAGAGAAGAGGAGCUUGCUUUUCUGAUCUAGUGGCGGACGGGUGAGUAACACGUGAGCAAUCUGCCUUUCAGAGGGGGAUACCGAUUGGAAACGAUCGUUAAUACCGCAUAACAUAAUUGAACCGCAUGAUUUGAUUAUCAAAGAUUUAUCGCUGAAAGAUGAGCUCGCGUCUGAUUAGCUAGUUGGUAAGGUAACGGCUUACCAAGGCGACGAUCAGUAGCUGGACUGAGAGGUUGAUCGGCCACAUUGGGACUGAGACACGGCCCAGACUCCUACGGGAGGCAGCAGUGGGGAAUAUUGCACAAUGGAGGAAACUCUGAUGCAGCGAUGCCGCGUGAGGGAAGAAGGUUUUAGGAUUGUAAACCUCUGUCUUCAGGGACGAAAAAAGACGGUACCUGAGGAGGAAGCUCCGGCUAACUACGUGCCAGCAGCCGCGGUAAUACGUAGGGAGCGAGCGUUGUCCGGAAUUACUGGGUGUAAAGGGAGCGUAGGCGGGAUCGCAAGUCAGAUGUGAAAACUAUGGGCUUAACCCAUAAACUGCAUUUGAAACUGUGGUUCUUGAGUGAAGUAGAGGUAAGCGGAAUUCCUAGUGUAGCGGUGAAAUGCGUAGAUAUUAGGAGGAACAUCAGUGGCGAAGGCGGCUUACUGGGCUUUAACUGACGCUGAGGCUCGAAAGCGUGGGGAGCAAACAGGAUUAGAUACCCUGGUAGUCCACGCCGUAAACGAUGAUUACUAGGUGUGGGGGGACUGACCCCUUCCGUGCCGCAGCAAACGCAAUAAGUAAUCCACCUGGGGAGUACGACCGCAAGGUUGAAACUCAAAGGAAUUGACGGGGGCCCGCACAAGCAGUGGAGUAUGUGGAUUAAUUCGAAGCAACGCGAAGAACCUUACCAGGUCUUGACAUCGUAUGCAUAGCUCAGAGAUGAGUGAAAUCUCUUCGGAGACAUAUAGACAGGUGGUGCAUGGUUGUCGUCAGCUCGUGUCGUGAGAUGUUGGGUUAAGUCCCGCAACGAGCGCAACCCUUACUGUUAGUUGCUACGCAAGAGCACUCUAGCAGGACUGCCGUUGACAAAACGGAGGAAGGUGGGGAUGACGUCAAAUCAUCAUGCCCCUUAUGACCUGGGCCUCACACGUACUACAAUGGCUGUCAACAGAGGGAAGCAAAGCCGCGAGGUGGAGCGAACCCCUAAAAGCAGUCUUAGUUCGGAUUGUAGGCUGCAACCCGCCUACAUGAAGUCGGAAUUGCUAGUAAUCGCAGAUCAGCAUGCUGCGGUGAAUACGUUCCCGGGCCUUGUACACACCGCCCGUCACGCCAUGGGAGUCGGUAACACCCGAAGCCUGUAGUCUAACCGCAAGGAGGACGCAGUCGAAGGUGGGAUUGAUGACUGGGGUGAAGUCGUAACAAGGUA